rnacentral:rRNA from 1 species
UACGUAGGGUGCGAGCGUUAAUCGGAAUUACUGGGCGUAAAGCGUGCGCAGGCGGUCUCGCAAGUCCGAUGUGAAAUCCCCGGGCUCAACCUGGGAACUGCGUUGGAAACUACGAGGCUGGAGUACGGCAGAGGGGGGUGGAAUUCCACGUGUAGCAGUGAAAUGCGUAGAUAUGUGGAGGAACACCGAUGGCGAAGGCAGCCCCCUGGGCUAGUACUGACGCUGAGACGCGAAAGCGUGGGGAGCGAACAGG